GUGUCUCCAGCACUAGUUCUGCAUAAUGUGGCAGCAGCUGAGGGAACCAGGUUUGCUGGAGUAAUUGUGGUGAUAGCAAUGUACCAACCUCAGAAGCUACUGAGAUGUCCAUUCUGUCACAGUACAGUC
ensembl:snoRNA SNORA66 Small nucleolar RNA SNORA66